rnacentral:pre_miRNA from 1 species
CAUAUACUCUCUCCGUCCAAAAUUAUUGUCUUAGAUUUGUCUAAAUAUGAAUGUAUCAAGUCAUGUUUUAGUAUUAGAUACAUCUAUAUCUAUACGUAUAAUCGAAGAGAAGAAUAUUGGGAGGGAGGCAGUAUUUU